AUUUGUAACCAGUAUAUUUCUCCUGACCGUUUCUUGUUGUGUAACCAAAGUUGAGGGCAUUUCCUCUGUGACGCAGGAACAUCCAUUCCCAAUCAGCUGCAAAGGUCACCAUAGAUACUCUGAAAGAACAGUGUGGGUGUAUUAAAAUCAGGAUUGCAUAAGAGGACUGCCUGACUGCUGAAGUGAUGAAUGUGUUUUUAGAAGGCAUCAGUGGCCGUGGAAGAAGUGCAGGCAGGGUACUUCUUCUCCUUCUCUCCAGCUGUCUCUGCAGGAAUGAACAGAGAGCCAAAACGGAUUCCAUUGGAACACCUGUGUCUGGAGACAGACUCUCUUGUCUUGGAAGCAGAAAAACAUGUGGGUUAUCAUCAUUUGGAGUGCAACAUUAUGGAAAGCAGCAACCUGGUUGUUUUGAAUCGUUAAAUGUAUUAUAUAUCUCCCCUCUCCAGUACAGGAAUGAACUUAAGAACACACUUCUUGUCUGUGAGUGCAUUGCUCAAGUCAAUGUAAUCACACCUCAAAUGGUUAUUCAUGCCAGCACAGAGAAUGCCCUCCGAUUGUUCCUUGGGUCACACACAUCACACUAAAUGUAUAGGUCUAAUUCUUGGCUUUUUGUAAAUGAAUUCAUAUUGUGUUCUCUCAUGCUGUAUCUCUGAAAAUGAAAUAGUGAAAUGAAAUGGA